rnacentral:rRNA from 1 species
AACGAACGCUGGCGGCAGGCUUAACACAUGCAAGUCGAACGCACCUUUCGGGGUGAGUGGCAGACGGGUGAGUAACGCGUGGGAACGUGCCCUUCAGUUCGGGAUAACCCAGGGAAACUUGGGCUAAUACCGGAUACGUGCGAGAGCAGAAAGAUUGAUCGCUGAAGGAUCGGCCCGCGUCUGAUUAGCUAGUUGGUGGGGUAAUGGCCCACCAAGGCGACGAUCAGUAGCUGGUCNGAGAGGAUGAUCAGCCACAUUGGGACUGAGACACGGCCCAAGCUCCUACGGGAGGCAGCAGUGGGGAAUAUUGGACAAUGGGCGCAAGCCUGAUCCAGCCAUGCCGCGU